AUGCAAGUCGGACGGGAAGUGGUGUUUCCAGUGGCGGACCCGUAGGCUGAGGAGCAAAAGGAGGAAUCCGCCCGAGGAGGGGCUUGCGUCUGAUUAGCUAGUUGGUGAGGCAAUAGCUUACCAAGGCGAUGAUCAGUAGCUGGUCCGAGAGGAUGAUCAACCACGCUGGGACUAAGUCUAAGUAGAGACCAAAGGUCUUAAGCA
rnacentral:ncRNA from 1 species